rnacentral:rRNA from 1 species
GACGAACGCUGGCGGCGUGCCUAAUACAUGCAAGUAGAACGCUGAAGAGAGGAGCUUACUCUUCUUGGAUGAGUUGCGAACGGGUGAGUAACGCGUAGGUAACCUGCCUUGUAGCGGGGGAUAACUAUUGGAAACGAUAGCUAAUACCGCAUAACAAUGGAUGACACAUGUCAUUUAUUUGAAAGGGGCAAUUGCUCCACUACAAGAUGGACCUGCGUUGUAUUAGCUAGUAGGUGAGGUAAUGGCUCAUCUAGGCGACGAUACAUAGCCGACCUGAGAGGGUGAUCGGCCACACUGGGACUGAGACACGGCCCAGACUCCUACGGGAGGCAGCAGUAGGGAAUCUUCGGCAAUGGGGGCAACCCUGACCGAGCAACGCCGCGUGAGUGAAGAAGGUUUUCGGAUCGUAAAGCUCUGUUGUAAGUCAAGAACGGGUGUGAGAGUGGAAAGUUCACACUGUGACGGUAGCUUACCAGAAAGGGACGGCUAACUACGU